rnacentral:rRNA from 1 species
AGAGUUUGAUCAUGGCUCAGGACGAACGCUGGCGGCGCGCCUCAUACAUGCAAGUCGAGCGAGAACCGGGCUUCGGCCCGGGGAGAGCGGCGAACGGGUGCGUAUCACGUGAGCAACCUGCCUCAGAGACUGGGAUAACUCGGGGAAACUCGGGCUAAUACCGGAUGCCCUCGGUGGAUCGCAUGGUCCGGCGAGGAAAUGGAUUCCGCUCUGAGAUGGGCUCGCGGCCUAUCAGCUUGUUGGUGGGGUAACGGCCUACCAAGGCGACGACGGGUAGCUGGUCUGAGAGGACGAUCAGCCACACUGGGACUGAGACACGGCCCAGACUCCUACGGGAGGCAGCAGUAGGGAAUCUUGCGCAAUGGGCGAAAGCCUGACGCAGCGACGCCGCGUGCGGGAUGAAGGCCUUCGGGUCGUAAACCGCUUUCAGCAGGGACGAAAUUGACGGUACCUGCAGAAGAAGGCCCGGCCAACUACGUGCCAGCAGCCGCGGUGAUACGUAGGGGUCUAGCGUUGUCCGGAAUCAUUGGGCGUAAAGAGCUCGUAGGCGGUUCGGCAAGUCGGAUGUGAAAUCUCCACGCUCAACGUGGAGGGGCCAUUCGAAACUGCCGUGACUCGAGUCCGGUAGGGGAGUGCGGAAUUCCCGGUGUAGCGGUGAAAUGCGCAGAUAUCGGGAGGAACACCAGUGGCGAAGGCGGCACUCUGGGCCGGAACUGACGCUGAGGAGCGAAAGCGUGGGGAGCGAACAGGAUUAGAUACCCUAGUAGUCC